rnacentral:rRNA from 1 species
GAUGAACGCUGGCGGCGUGCCUAAUACAUGCAAGUCGAGCGAACGGACGAGAAGCUUGCUUCUCUGAUGUUAGCGGCGGACGGGUGAGUAACACGUGGAUAACCUACCUAUAAGACUGGGAUAACUUCGGGAAACCGGAGCUAAUACCGGAUAAUAUUUUGAACCGCAUGGUUCAAAAGUGAAAGACGGUCUUGCUGUCACUUAUAGAUGGAUCCGCGCUGCAUUAGCUAGUUGGUAAGGUAACGGCUUACCAAGGCAACGAUGCAUAGCCGACCUGAGAGGCUGCUCCGCCACACCAGAGCUGACACCAGAACCAUACUUCUCUGUGAGGCAGCAGUAGCGACUCUUGCACAUAAGUCUAGAGCCUCACGUUCCACCGCCGCAGGAAGAACGACAGUCUUCCCAGCGUAAAACCGUAAUAUUAGCGAGGAACAUACAGCUACGUAACUGUGCCGCUCGACGCGAUUAAUAAUCAUUACCGCAAAGCUAGCUACGUC